rnacentral:rRNA from 1 species
GUGGGGAAUAUUGGGCAAUGGGGGAAACCCUGACCCAGCGACGCCGCGUGAGGGAAGACGGCCUUCGGGUUGUAAACCUCUUUUGUACGGGAAGAAGGAAGUGACGGUACUGUACGAAUAAGUCCCGGCUAACUACGUGCCAGCAGCCGCGGUAAUACGUAGGGGACGAGCGUUGUCCGGAAUUACUGGGCGUAAAGGGCGCGCAGGCUGUGCUGCAAGUCAGCUGUGAAAUGUCUGGGCUUAACCCGGGCAUGCGGUUGAGACUGCAGUGCUGGAGUGCUGUAGAGGCAAGUGGAAGUCCCAGUGUAGCGGUGAAAUGCGUAGAUAUUGGGAAGAACACCGGUGGCGAAGGCGACUUGCUGGGCAGCAACUGACGCUGAGGCGCGAAAGCCAGGGGAGCAAACGGGAUUAGAAACCCUAGUAGUCC